AUGGUGCUCACGACGCUUCUCCUCCUGGUGCUCCUGGCCGGCCUCGCUGGCUCGAGCCCUCCGCCGGAGCCUGUGGUCUGUGCCCGCGGCACGGCCGACUGCACUGUCUCCAACGCGUUCGGCUCCUUCCUGGACCGCACCGUCUGCCGCGCGGCCAACGCCACCUUCCCGCGCACCGAGAAGGAGCUGGUCGCGGCCGUGGCAGCCGCGUCGGCGGCCAAGCGCAAGGUGAAGGUGGCCACCAAGCACUCCCACAGCUUCCCCAAGCUGGCCUGCCCCGGCGGCAGCGAUGGCACCAUCAUAAGCACGGAGCGGCUCAACCGGGUGGUAAGCGUCGACGUCGCCAAGGGGCUUAUGACGGUGGAGAGCGGCAUGGUGCUCCGGGACCUCAUCCAGGCGGCCGCCGCGAAAGGGCUCGCGCUGCCGCACUCGCCGUACUGGUCAGGGCUCACCAUAGGAGGCCUGCUGGCCACGGGCGCGCACGGCAGCUCGCUGUGGGGAAAGGGCGGCGCCGUGCACGAGUACGUGGUCGGGAUGAGGAUCGUCACGCCAGCGCCGGCCAGCCAAGGGUUCGCGGUGGUACGGGAGCUCUGCGCCGACCAUCCUGACCUCAACGCCGCCAAGGUCUCCCUUGGCGUCCUUGGCGUCGUUUCCCAGGUUACAUUGGCAUUGCAGCCGAUGUUCAAGCGGUCGGUGACAUUUGUGACACGUGAUGACUCAGACAUGGCGGAAAAGGCGGCCAGGUGGGGCGACCUCCACGAAUUCGGCGACAUGGCGUGGCUACCACAGCUCCGCAAGGUCAUUUACCGCGAGGAUGACCGUGUGACCAUCAAGACGGUGGGCGACGGCCUCAAUGACCACCUAGGAUUCCGCUCCAACCCGACGGCCCCGCUCAUUAGCGGCAGAGUCACAAUGGAGCUUCUCGAGAAGAACAUCAAUGCCAUCGCCCGGUGCAAGGCGGCAAAUGCGACGGUAUCGCUAUUCGAGACAGUAGCAUACGGUUUCACCAACAACGGUAGCAUGUUCACUGGCCAAGAAGAUGCACUCCUCACCUCAUGCGCAUGGGACCCACGCAUCCGGGGAACCUUCUUCUACACCAAUGGCUAUAGCAUCGCGCUCUCUAGGGUACCAGCGUUCAUCGCCGACAUGCAACAGCUACGUGACCGUAGCCCGCUAUCCUUUUGUGGAAUCGACGCCAGUGUGGGUAUGCUCCUCCGCUACGUCAAGGCAUCCUCUGCCUACCUCGACAAACCAGAGGACUCAAUCGACUUCGAUAUAUCCUACUACCGGAGUUACAGCAAGGGCGAGCCCAACCCGCACUAUGACGUGCUCGACGAGCUCCAGCAGAUGGCGCUGCACAAGUGCAGCGCUAUCCCGCACUGGGGCAAGAACCGCAACUUUGCCUUUGAAGGCACAAUGGCCAAGCACCCCAAGGCAGACAAGUUCCUGGAGGUGAAGCAGAGGUAUGACCCGGAUGGGAUCUUCUCUAGUGAGUGGAGCGACCAGGUUCUCGGUAUCAAUGGGAGCCCGGCCAUCUUCGAGAAGCAUUGCGCCAUCGAGGGGAUGUGCAUCUGCUCAGAUGACUCACACUGUGCACCAGAGGAGGGCUACUACUGCCUCCCAGGGAAGGUGUACACGGACGCGAGGGUCUGCUCGUUCCAACCCGCUUUCUGA
rnacentral:rRNA from 1 species